CAGUUUUUGUUAAAUGUAGUGGGUCUUGGCCUCAGCUUUAUAUAAAUUCUGGGUUUGUUAGUGAAGCGUAGGGCUAGUGGCUGGCAAUCACCUUAGUAUUUUCUCUGCUUUGCUGUUGCUUCAUGCUGAUGAAUAAUACCUUAGGUGUAGUUUUUCUGGCCAACUGAUUCUGCUUUUUUUCC